ensembl:lncRNA LOC108352165 uncharacterized LOC108352165
CACAGCGCCGCGGAAGAGCGUCAGGAGGGGUGGGAGGCAAAGCGCUCCAAGCCUCGCGAUAUUCCGUGCUCCGCGGGAUUCGGCGAGGGACUGGGCUGGCAGUCUCUGGAUGUCCGUGACUCUGCAUACUCUUGUCUCUUCUGGGUGUCUGCAGCCUACUUGGGAUAGGGAUGUGGGUCUCAGGGAGGAGCAAGAGUGACGCCAAGGUGUCCCUGAAGAGAACCUUGAUUGUGUUCCAGCCACUUAGACCGUGUGACUCACGCAGCCUGUAUAUUCCAGCUCCAGGCGAUCCAGUGCUUCCAGCCUCUGUGGGGGCCACACUCGUGGUGUGUACACACACGCAAAUACACAAAUACUCAAACAAGUCUUUAAAAGCUACUGUGAAAGACUCAUGUCGAUAAGUUUAGUUACAACCAGAUCUUUUCAUGGAGAAGUUGUGGGUUGCAAUGUACCCAUGUUAAAACAAGUUCUUUAUUACUGCCUUCUCUUUGAGAGCUCAGCUCCCGCUCUGGUAUCAGGAUUUGUCCAGACCAGAUAAACCAUAUAAUACAUGUGGUAUUAAUCAGAGCACUAAAGGCAUAGAGUUGGCCAAGUUCCAGUUCUCAUGCCUUCUCACUCAAUGAGGAUUUAGUCCACGUGCUCAUGCCGUUUUUUGUUUUGUUUUGUUUUUUUGCAAGCCUGACUCGAAGGGUUGUUUUGCAAUCUUGGCUGUAAAAGACACAGGGAUUUUAAUGACAUCCCAAGAAAAGAAUGUAAAGUCUCCAUUUCAUACUGUCUGUUGAAAUGAGUAAUUAUAGCUUGUGGUUACUGUUUAAAACGCUGUUUCAUCUCACUGUUUUACUUCAUCAGAUGUAACAACUAGAGAAAGGUGUUAUUGUAUUCUUAUUGGACCACUCUGCUCACAUAUCUUUUUUUAGUUUAUUGUGUCUGCGUGUAUCCGCAUGUAUUAGUGUGUGUUCGCAUGGUGUAUGCGAGUGGGCAGGCCCAUGCUACAGAGCAGGUGUGGAGUUCGGGGGACAGUUGUGUAGCAUGUUCUUCCCUCCUACCUUUAUAUGGGUUCCAGGAUCAAACUCACUCAGGUCAUCAAGCUUGCAUAGCCAGCCCUCCCUUAACCCAUGAGCCAUCUUCCCGGCUUGCUAUAGUUUCUUACAGUACCCAAGUAAUUUGAAGACCCUGGUUCUCUUUAUCAUCAGCAAGCAGCUAUAAUCCAAUCAGUUAUGAAUAGUAUGCCUUUGUCACUUGCCUGUUCAAAGUAUCUGAUCAACUUGGUUACAUUGUAUUUUAUGCAAAAGUAUCUACUUAAAAGCAACAAUCUAGACUAAGGUGGUAGUGUAUACCCUGUGACCCCAGCACUUGGGUGGCCGAGGCAGAAACACCCAAGGUUUGAGGCAGGAUGGCAUAGGUGAAGACAUAUCUUUAUAAAAAUGAACUACAGUAAGGGCUGGAGAGCUGCCUCAGUGGUUAAGGGCACUUACUGGUCUUGCAGAGAACCCAGAUUCAGUUCCCAGCACCCCUUUCACAUAACUUACAACCAGUUCCAGGGGACCUGAUGCCCUCUUAUGACCUCAAAAACCACCUGUAUGCAUGUGCACAUACACCCAGGCAUGCAACUGACAGCCCUGUUUGGCAAUCUACAAUUCCAGUGCUUAAAGUGACAGAUUAAUUUUUUUGAGACACAGUUUCUCUGUGAAACUCACUUUGUAGACCCAGUCAGCCCUGAACUCACAGAGACCUUCCUGCCUCUGCCUCCAGAGUACUGGGAUCAAAGUUGUGUGGCACCACACCCAGCUAAUUUGAUUCUUAUAAAUCUCAACCACCAUUAGAAACAGAGGGUGCUGGUGAAUGUCUUUCCUUACCUAUUUUACGGACGGAAAGAUAGGCUCAGUCUACUUUUUCAGCAAGGGAACAAUUGGUCCAACUCGAGUUUAUAUUCCAAUGGCUUUAUCCUGCUUAUAAGUACCUGGGCUCUGGAGCCCCAGACACCUUGGCCUCUCAAGGGAAGAAGUCUCCGGUGACAAAGAUGAUUAGACCCACAAUUUUUGGUCUCGGUACCCUCUCCCGUUAGCAUCGAUCGUAUUGACUACACACUUGUAUUUGGGGGUGUGCUUAAUUUAAAAGGCAUGGGUAUAUCUAGUCAGCUUCCCAGUCUCCUUAAUGUAAGUAACCAGCUGCCAGCUUGCUCACUAUUCACAUACAGGGGGAGGAGGAGGAAUACAGACAUAGUCUAGCUGAACAGGAACAUGGCAAGGUCAUGUGGGAUUUGGGGGGAAUGGGACAAUGCUAAAGUGUGCUCAAGAGCCCAUCUGUGCCAACCUAGCUCCAGGAGUCAGGAUGGCAACAUUAGACAGGAGGGAAUCCAAAGAGUUGUCCCCAAAGGAUUGCUUCCUGCUAGCAUUCCCACCCAUGACCAUUUCCCAAACCCACCUAGCAGGAGCCCAGGUACCCUGCCUAGCACCCCAUGACUUCAACUUGCUGCAUGGACUCCUGGUGCCUUCUGCAGGCUUGGGGUCCCACACACAAAGACAGGUACACAGUAAGCUGCCCUGCCCCAGUUAUGUACUGGAAACAUUUCCAGUCCUGGGCUAGAGGUAAGGAUCAAUUGCCUUCAUUGUGUGUCUAUUCCAGAGAAAGGCAAGACCCACGAAAAUUAUCUCACAAACAAAUGAGAUAAUUGUGUAUAGUUACUGUGAUGUAAACGAAACAGACGAAGUGGACUGAGUUACUGAGGUUCCGGUUUCACUUGGUGGCAGGAGGGAAAUGUGGCCUGACUUGAGAGGAGGUGUUCGUAGUCACGCCCAGGGAAGGAGUGUGAAGGGAAGAGGCAGUGAGUGUGAGCACGGACAAGGCGAGUGAGCAAGAAGUGAGAAGGGCUGCGGCACCUUCGGGGGCUCCCAGACCGGGAUCACCACAGCGUCCUCUCCAGAUGGGGCAGGGCCCGAACGGCUGCUGAUCCUUGACCGAGAAAGGGGACCCAGCUGCACAGAGAUGGGAAGGAGAUGCUGAAGCUCUGAAGAGAGGGCUGUUGGCCGUGCCUGCCGUCUGAUUCUGUGGAAAUUUCAGAUGGACGUUUACACAGCUGAUAGUUGCCUAGGCUGGGUGGGGCUGUCAGGAUUACCAAAAUUUCUGGGUCACAAGACGGGGGACUGUGGAGCCUUGCGCUAGGAAUAAGUGAGGGGGUGCAGCAGGAGCUGCUGGCACAGAGUUUCCCUGUGUGGUAAGCAGGGUGAGGGAAAACGGGGUGUGGAAAGUGGGGUGAUGGCAGAUUAAAACAGUUG